rnacentral:rRNA from 1 species
UACAGAGGGUGCAAGCGUUAAUCGGAAUUACUGGGCGUAAAGCGUGCGUAGACGGUUGCGUAAGUCAGAUGUGAAAGCCCCGGGCUCAACCUGGGAAUUGCAUUUGAGACUGCGUAGCUAGGGUGCGGAAGAGGGAAGCGGAAUUUCCGGUGUAGCGGUGAAAUGCGUAGAUAUCGGAAGGAACACCAGUGGCGAAAGCGGCUUCCUGGACCAGCACCGACGUUCAGGCACGAAAGCGUGGGGAGCAAACAGG